rnacentral:rRNA from 1 species
UUCGAAGGGGGCUAGCGUUGCUCGGAAUGACUGGGCGUAAAGGGCACGUAGGCGGCUCGGCAAAUCGGUCGUGGAAUCCCGACGCUUACCGUCGGAACGGCGGCCGAAAAUACCGGGCUAGAGGGCGUGAGGGGUCACUGGAACUCCUGGUGAAGCGGUGAAAUGCGUAGAUAUCAGGAGGAACGCCGGAGGCGAAAGCGAGUGACUGGCGCGUUCCUGACGCUGAGGUGCGAAAGCUAGGGGAGCAAACAGG